rnacentral:misc_RNA from 1 species
GCAUAUGCYGGGAUGGCAUGCCAARGCGUGUGCUGGGAUGGCAUGCCUUGGCGUGUGCUGGGAUGGCAUGCCAAGGACAAGCAUGUGCUAGGAAGGCAUGCCAAGGCCAAGACAAGGCCAUGGCAAGCACAUGCAUUGCGAGCGAGACGAGAUGGUUACGUUUACCCCAAGAGUGCCCAAGGGAGAGGAAGGUGUCAAACGCAUACUGAGCCCCACUUCGGUAGUUUGGCACCCCCAUAGGCAUUCAGGCAAACAAGCCUAUGGGAGAAGUCUGUUGAGCUUGGCUGCCAUGUUGGGUAUUAUUCUGUGGAUGAGAUGAUGGCACAAGGAUGCUUGCUAGGCAACGUUUUGGCACCAGACCGCAAAUGCUACUUCAAGCUUCAGCGGGUGGAAUCUGCCUAUAGGGCGUUGCUUGCUUGUUGUGGAGUUGGGACACACCCAAUAUCUAUCAUCGACUGACGUAAUACUUGCAUGGCCCCAUAGGUAUUAAGGCAAGCGUGCCUAUGGGAAAAG